rnacentral:rRNA from 1 species
AUUAAGCAUAUUAGUAGGCGGCGGAAGAUAACCCAAAAGGGAUUCCUUCAGUAAUGGCGAAUGAACGGGGAAAAGCUCAGCAAAGAAAUCAGGGACCCCGUCCUUGAGUUGUGGACUUGAGAGGUAUUGCCAAUGGUGGCGCAGGUGCGGGCCUCUUGGAAAAGGGCACCACAGAGGGUGUGAGUCCUGUUUGUCAUCUGUAGUCCGCCAUGUACGGCAUGCCUCCUCAGAGUCACGUUCCUUGGAAUUGGAGCGCGAAGGUGGUGGUGGCUUUCAUCUCAAGCUAAAUAUGGGUUCGAGACCGAUAGCAAACAAGUACCAUGAGGGAAAAUUGAAAAGAGCUUUGGAAAGAGAGUUAAAAGUGCCCGAACUUGCUGAUAGGGAAGCGAAGGGAGCUGACGUUGCAUGGUGACAUUUUCCGCGCAAGAGUAGGAUGGGUUCUGAUUGCAAUGUGCGUAGUGCUUCUUGCCGUGCGUGUCGAUGCCAAGCAACGAGUGGGGAGAGCACCAGGGAUAUGAUUGUUCUGUCCCCGGGUGGACGAAGGUGCCUGGUCGCAUCCAUUUGUGGGCUGAAACAAGUGGUGGCUGGUUGCAGCGCUCCAUAACUGCCAGGCAGUUGGGGUGCAGCCCUGAUACGCAGACGAGGACAAAGUGCUUCUGUUCGACCCGUCUUGAAACAGGGACC